CGCUUCUGUCGUUGUCGCCGGCCUCGGCGCCCACAAGGACGGGUGUGAUUCCCCUUCGCGCCUCGGUGGGUCUGUUUCGGUGACGUCUGUGGUGGCUGACGAAACAUGCUUUGUCAGGGAGCGAGCGAGGACAAUGACUACAACUCCCAGAAGGCCCCACUGAUGACGUUGUGGUGUUGUUUAGGGGCCUUUAAAAAGGUGGCAGACAUGAGGCUGUUUAACACGCUACGAGCCCAUGGUAUUACAGAAAGAGCCCAGCACAGAUAAAGCAGUGGCUGAUUGACAGGAGGCAGAAUGUGUGAAUAAAUGGAGCGUUUUC